UAUAAUACACGUGCUGGAAAGGAGCCGU
rnacentral:piRNA from 1 species